UCCCUGGUGGCUUAGACGGUAAAGCGUCUGCCUGCAAUGCGGGAGACCCGGGUUCGAUUCCUGGGUUGGGAC
rnacentral:tRNA from 1 species